rnacentral:rRNA from 1 species
UACGGGGGGGGCAAGCGUUGUUCGGAAUUACUGGGCGUAAAGGGCUCGUAAGCGGCCAACUAAGUCGGAUGUGAAAUCCCCAGGCUCAACUUGGGAACUGCAUCCGAUACUGGAUGGCUUGAAUUCGGGAGAGGGAUGCAGAAUUCCAGGUGUAGCGGUGAAAUGCGUAGAUAUCGUAAGGAAGACCAGUGGCGAAGGCGGGUCUCUGGACAGUUCCUGACGCUGAGGCACGAAGGCCAGGGGAGCAAACGGG